rnacentral:rRNA from 1 species
UACGUAGGGUGCGAGCGUUAAUCGGAAUUACUGGGCGUAAAGCGUGCGCAGGCGGUUCUGCAAGUCAGAUGUGAAAUCCCCGGGCUUAACCUGGGAACUGCGUUUGAAACUACGGAGCUAGAGUGCGGCAGAGGGGGGGUGGAAUUCCGACGUGUAGCAGUGAAAUGCGUAGAUAUGUGGAGGAACACCGAUGGCGAAGGCAGCCCCCCUGGGCCGACACUGACGCCUCAGGCACGAAAAGCGUGGGGGAGCAAACAGG